rnacentral:rRNA from 1 species
GAAAUGCAUCGAUGAAGAACGCAGCGAAAUGCGAUACGUAAUGUGAUUUGCGUGAAUCAUCGAAUCUUUGAACGCACCUUGCGCCCCUUGGCAUUCCGAGGGGCACGCCCGUUUGAGUGUCGUGAAAUUCUCAACCUUUUCCGAUUCUUCUUGAUCGGAGAAGGCUUGGACUUUGGAGGCUUCUGCUGGCUUCUCUUGAAGCCAGCUCCUCUUAAAUGCAUUAGCGGGGGUUCCCUUUUGCCGGUCCUCGACGUGAUAAGGUUUCUUUCUACGUCUGGGGCCUUGGCUUGAGACCCGCUUCUAAUCGUCUCAACGAGACGCUGUGAACCCUUUGACCUCAAAUCGGGUGAGACUACCCGCUGAACUUAAGCAUAUCAAUAAGCGGAGGA